AUACCGGCGGCCCGAGUGGCGGCCACUAUUAUUGGGCCUAAAGCGUCCGUAGCCGGGCUGGUAAGUCCCCCGGGAAAUCUGGCGGCUUAACCGUCAGACUGCCGGGGGAUACUGCCAGCCUAGGGACCGGGAGAGGCCGGGGGUAUUCCCGGGGUAGGGGUGAAAUCCUGUAAUCCCGGGAGGACCACCUGUGGCGAAGGCGCCCGGCUGGAACGGGUCCGACGGUGCGGGACGAAGGCCAGGGGAGCGAACCGGAUUAGAAACCCUAGUAGUCC
rnacentral:rRNA from 1 species